rnacentral:rRNA from 1 species
GAUGAACGCUGGCGGCGUGCCUAAUACAUGCAAGUCGAGCGAACAGACGAGGAGCUUGCUCCUCUGACGUUAGCGGCGGACGGGUGAGUAACACGUGGAUAACCUACCUAUAAGACUGGGAUAACUUCGGGAAACCGGAGCUAAUACCGGAUAAUAUAUUGAACCGCAUGGUUCAAUAGUGAAAGACGGUUUUGCUGUCACUUAUAGAUGGAUCCGCGCCGCAUUAGCUAGUUGGUAAGGUAACGGCUUACCAAGGCGACGAUGCGUAGCCGACCUGAGAGGGUGAUAGGCCACACUGGAACGGAGACACGGUCCAGACUCCUGCGGGAGGCAGCAGUAGGGAAUCGUCCGCAAUGGGCGAAAGCCUGACGGAGCAACGCCGCGUGAGUGAUGAAGGUCUUCGGAUCGUAAAACUCUGUUAUUAGGGAAGAACAAAUGUGUAAGUAACUAUGCACGUCUUGACGGUACCUAAUCAGAAAGCCACGGCUAACUACGUG